AAGCCAUGAUGAGGGCAUUGGUUGGUAGAACCCUUGAAACGCUCCCAUGCUUCACAAAAGCUUUCACCAACCUUCUAUAAAAAACCGGAGAUCUCAUUUCUGAGUCU
rnacentral:snoRNA from 2 species